CUAUGAAGGUGUUUUACCGUGCUGCACAGGUGCAAAUUAACACAAAAAAUCAGUUUUUAGUGUACCUACCGGCAUCGUAAUUGCAGCAUCACUUGAUGACGACUCCUAACACUUUGAUUACUUGGGAUUACUGGUUGUAAGAAGAAAAGGAGCAAACAAAAUUUGAAAAUAAAGAGAGCUAUCCGUCGACAGUAUAUAUUUUACACUGUCAUGGAGUUGCUCUCUUUAUGGACAAAUUUGUCUUCAUCGAUGGACAUAACGGAGACACAAACGGAGACAUAAAUAUUCUAUACAUGACAAAAUGGCGAAGGAAACUUAAUUACCAAAAAUAAAAUAAGUAUAAAAAAAUAUUAUCAGAGAAUACAGAAAAUUAAGUUCAGAAUAAAAGAUUUUUAAAAGAUAAAAUUAAUAUAACUGUAAGACCAGGUUUUAAGGAUCAGAUUUUGUAAUAAAAAUAAUAAAAAUUAUAAGGAAUUCAUA